ensembl:lncRNA
GGCGUGUCAAACAGGUGGUUCCGAUCAGUCCGGGAGGUGGUUCCGGCGUAUCCGGCACGUGGUCCUGGCACGUCUGAGAGGUGGUUCCGGCAUGCCCGGCAGGUGAUUCUUGAGUGUCCGCCAAGUGGUUCUUGCAUAGCCUGCUGGUGAUUUUGGCGGGACCGGCAGGUGGUUCCGGAGAGUUGAGCAGCUGGUUCCAGCGUGCUUGGAGGUGGUCAGGCGUGUCCUGCUAGUGGCUCCGGUCUGUCCAGGAGGUGGUUCUGGCAUGUCCAGCAUGUGGUUCUGGCACGUCUGAGAUGUGGUUCCAGCAUGCCCAGCAGGUGAUUCCGGAGAGUCCGCCAAGUGCAUCUGCUGUAGCCGGCAGGUGAUUUUGGCAUGUCCAGCAGGUGGUUCCGGCGAGUCGAGCAGGUGGUUCCGGCAUGCUCGCCAGCUGGUUCCAGCGUGUCCGGAAUGUGGUUUUGGCACGUCUGAGAGGUGGUUCUGGCAUGCCUGGCAUGUCUUUCCACACUGUCUGCCACGUGGUUCUGGCAUAGCCAGCAGGCGAUUUUGAUGUGUCCGGCAGGUGGUUCUGGUCUGUCUGGGAGGUGGUUCUGGCGUGUCCGGAACGUGUUUCAGGCAAGUUCGAGAGGUGGUUCUGUCAUGCUCAGCAAGUGGUUCAGGCGUUUCGUGCAGGCGGUUCCGUUCUGUCCUGUAGGUGGUUUCAGUGUGUCCUGCACAUGGAUCUGGCACGUCUGAGAGGUGGUUCCGGCAUGCCCGGCAGGUGAUCCCGGACUGUCCCCCAGAGGGUUUUGGCGUAGCCGGCAGGUGACUUUGGCGUGUCCAGCAGGUGGUUCUGGUGAGUCGAGCAGGUCAUUUCAGCGUGCUGGGCUUGUGGUUCAGGCGUGUCCGGCAGGUUGUUCCGGUAUGUCCGGGUGGUGGUUCCGGCGUGCUCGGCAGGUGGUUCGGGCGGGUCCGGCAGGUGGUUCAGGUCUGUCCGGGAUGUGUUUCUGGCGUCUCAGGAACAUGGUUCUGGCACACCUGAGAGGUGGUUCCGGCAUGCCCAACAGGUGAUUCCGGACUGUCCUGAACGUGGUUCUGGCAUAGCUGGCAUUUGAUUUUGACGUGUCUGUCAGGUGGUUCUGGCGAGUCAAGCAGGUGGCUCCGGCAUGCUCGGCAGGUGGAUCUGGCGUGUCCAUGAGGUGGUUCCAGUCUGUCUGGUACGUAGUUCUGGCCUGCUCGGCAGGUGGUUCAGGAAGGUCCCGCAGGUGGUUCCAGUCUGUCCUGUAAGUGCUUUGGCGUGUCCUGCACAUGGUUCUGGCACGUCUGAGAGGUGGUUCCAGCAUGCCCGGAAUGUGAUCCGGGACUGCCCCCACGUGGUUCUGGCAUAGCCAGCAGGUGAUUUUGGCGUGUCUGGCAGGUGGUUCUGGCGAGUCGAGCAGGUGGUUCCUGCGUGUCCGGCACGUGGUUCUGGCACGUCUGAGAGGUUGUGCCGGCAUGCCUGGCACGUGAUUCCGUCUUGUCCGCCUAGUUGUUCUGGAGUAGCUGGCAGGUGAUUUUGGCGUGUCCAGCAGGUGGGUCCUGCGAGUCAAGCAGGUGGUUCUGGCAUGCUCGGCAGGUGAUUCAGGCGUGUUCGGCAGGUGGCUCCAGUCUGUCCAGGACGUGGUUGCAGCGUGUCUGGCACGUGGUUCUAUUACAUCUGAGAGGUGUUUCCAUCAUGUUCGGCAGGUGCUUCCGGCGUCUCCGGCAUGUGCUUCUGGCACUUUUGAGAGGUGGUUCUGGCAUGCCUGGCAGGUGAUUCCGGAGUGUCCGACAAGUGGUUCUGGCGUAUCCGGCUGGUGAUUUUGCCGUGUCCGGUAGGUGGUUCCGGGGAGUCGAGUGGUUGUUCUGACGUGCUAGGCAGGUGGUUCCGGCUGGUCCAGCAGGUGGUUCCGGUCUGUCCGGGAGGUGGUUCUGGCAUGUCCAGCACAUGGUUCUGGCACGUCUGAGAGGUGGUUCCGGCAUGCCCGGCAGGUGAUCCCGAAGAGUCCUCCAAGUGGUUCUUGCAUAGCCGGGCAGUGAUUUUGGCGUGUCCGGCAGGUAGGUCUGGUGAGUCAAGCAGGUGAUUCCGGCAUGCUCAGCUGGUGGUUCAGUCAGGUACGGCAGGUGGUUCUGGUCUGUCUGGGAGAUGGUUCCAGCGUGUCUGGCACGUGGUUCCAGCACGUCGGGGAGGUGGCUCCAGCAAGGCCAUCAGUUGAUUCCAGAGAGUCCACCACGUGGUUCUGGCAUAGCCGGCAGGUGAUUUUGGCGUGUCCGGCAGGUGCUUCCGGCAAGUCGAGCAGGUGGCUCCGGAGUGCUCGGCAGGUGGUUACGGUGUGUCCGGCAGGUGGUUCCGGUCUGUCCAGUAGGUGGUUCCGUUGUGUUCGGCAUGUGGUUCUGGCACAUCUGAGAGGUGGUUCUGGCAUGCCCGGCAGGUAAUUCUGGAGUGUCCACCAAGUGGUUCUGGAGUAGCCGGCAGGUGAUUUUGGCGUGUCUGGCAGGUGGUUUUGGGGAGUGGAUCAGGUGGUUCCAGCAUACUCAGCAGGUGGUUCCGGCGUGUCCGGCACAUGGUUCUGACACGUCUGAGAGGUGGUUCCGGUAUGCCCGGCCGGUGAUCCCGGAGAGUCCUCCAAGUGUUUCUGGCGUAGCCAGCAGGUGAUUUUGGAGUGUCCAGCAAGUGAGUCUGGCAAUUCGAGCAGGUGGUUCCGGCGUGCUUGGCUGGUGGUUCAGUCAGGUAUGGCAGGUGGUUCUGGUCUGUCCGGGAGAUGGUUCCAGCGUGUCCGCCACGUGGUUCCAGCACGUCGGUGAGGUGGUUCCAGCAAGGCCAUCAGGUGAUUCCAGAGAUUCUGCCAAGUGGUUGUGGCGUAGCCGGCAGGUGAUUUUGGCAUGUCCGGCAGGUCGUUGCGGCGAGUCGAGCAGGUGGUUCCGGCAUGCUUGGCAGGUGCUUCCGGUAUCUUUUGCACGUGGUUCUGGCAUGUCUGAGAGCUGGUUUCGGCAUGCACGGCAGGUGGUUCCGGUCUGUCCGGCAGGUGGUUCAGGCAUGUCCGGCAGGCGUUUUUGCAUGUCUGGUGGUGCUUCCGGGGAGUCGAGGAGGUGGUUCCGGCGUGUCCGGCAGGUGGUUCUGGGGUGUCUGGCACAUGGUUCUGCCACGUCUCAGACGUUGUGCCAGCAUGCCCUUCACGUGAUUCCAGCUUGUCCACCAAGUGGUUCUGGAGUAGCCAGCAGGUGAUUUUGGCGUGUCCGGCAGGUGGGACCGGCGAGUCUGGCAGGUGGUUCCGGUCUGUCUGGGAGGUGGUUCCCGCAUGUCCAGCACGUGCUUCUGGCACGUCUGAGAGGUUGUGCUGGCAUGCCUGACAGGUGAUUCCGGAGUGUCCGACAAGUGGCUCUGGGGUAGCCUGCUGGUGAUUUUGGGGUCUCCGGCAGGUGGUUCCAGUGAGUCGAGCAGGAGGUUUCGGCGAGCUCGGCAGGUGUUUCCAGAAUCUCCAGCAUGUGUUUCUUGCACGUCUGAGAGGUGGUUCCGGCAUGCCCGUCAGGUGAUUCAGGAUUGUCCACCAAGUGGUUCUGGCAUAGCCGGCAGGUGAUUUUGGCAUGUCCGGCAGAUGGUUCUGUGGAGUGGAUCAGGUGGUUCCUGUGUGCUCGACAGGUGGUUCAGGAGGGUCCGGCAGGUCGUUCAGGUCUGUCUGGGAUGUGGUUCCGGUGUCUCAGGCACAUGGUUCUGGCACGUCUGAGAGGUGGUUUCGGCGAGCUCGGCAUGUGCUUCCAGCUUCUCCGGCACGUGGUUCUGGCACGUCUGAGAGGUGGUUCCAGCAUGCCUGGCAGGUGAUUCAGGAGUGUCUGGCAAGUUGCUCUGGCAUUACUGACAGGUGAUUUUGGCGUCUCCGGCAGGUGGGUCCUGCGAGUCGAGGAGGUGGUUCCGGCGUGCUUGGCAGGUGUUUCAGGCGUGUCCGGCACGUUGUUCCAGUCUGUCCAGAACGUGUUUCUGGCGUGUCUGGCACAUGGUUCGGGUAUGUCUGAGAGGUGGUUCUGGCAUGCCCGGGAGGUGAUUCCGGAGUGUGUGCCAAGUGGUUCUGGCGUAGUCGGCAGGUGAUUUUGGCGUGUUCGGCAGGUGGUUCUGGGGAGUGGAUCAGGUGGUUCAGGCAUGCUCGGCAGGUUGUUCAGGCAUUUCGGGCAGGUUGUUCCGGUCUGUCCUGUAGGUGCGUUUGGUGUGUCCCACACAUGGUUCUGGCAUAUCUGAGAGGUGGUUCCAGCAUGUCCGCCAGUUGAUCCCAGACUAUCCCCCAUGUGGUUCUGGCGUAGCAGGCAGGUUAUUUUGGCGUGUCCAGCAGGUGGUUCCGGUGAGUCGAGCAGGUCGUUCUGGCGAAUUGAGCAGGUGGUUCCGGCGUGCUCGGCAGGUGCUUCCUGCGUCACUGUUAUGUGGUUCUGGCAUGUCUGAGAGGUGGUGCAGGCAUGCCCUGCAGGUGAUUCCCGAGUGUCCGCCAAGUAGUUUUGGCAUAGCCAGCCGGUGAUUGUGGAGUGUCUGGCAGGUGUGUCCUGUGAGUCGAGCAGGUGGUUCCGGCGAGCUCGGCAGGUGCUUCCGGCAUCUUCGGCACGUGGUUCUGGCACGUUUGAGAGGUGGUUCUGGCAUUCCUGACAGGUGAUUCCGGAGUGUCUGGCAAGUGGUUCUGGCAUAGCCAGCAGGUGAUUUUGGCAUGUCCGGCAGGUGGUUCUGGUGAUUUGAGCAGGUGGUUCUAGCGAGCUUAGCAGGUGCUUCCGGCGUCUCCAACAGGUGGUUCCAGUCUGUCCGAGAGGUGGUUCCGUCAUGCUGGGAAGGUGCUUCCGGCAUCUCCGACACAUGCUUCUAGCAUGUCUGAGAGGUGGUUCGGGCAUGCCCGGCGGGUGAUGCCACAGUUUCCGACAAGUGGUUCUGGUGUAGCCGGCAGGUGAUUUUGGCGUGUCCGGCAGGUGGGUCCUGUGAGUCGAGCAGGUGGUUCUGGCAUGCUCGGCAGGUGGUUGAGGCGUGUCCGGCAGAUGGUUCCAGUCUCUCCAGGAUGUGGUUCCAGCGUGUCCGGCACAUGGUUCUGGUAUGUCUGAGAGGUUGUUCCGGCCAGCCCGGCAGGUGACUCCGGACUGUCCAACACGUGAUUCUAGCAUAGCCGGCAGGUGAUUUUGGCGUGUCCGGGAGGUGAUUCCGGUGAUUCGAGCUGGUGGUUCUGGCGUACUCGGCAUGUGGUUACAGUCUGUUCGGGAGGUGGUUCCGGCGUGUCAGGCAUGCAGUUGUGGCAUGUUUGAAGGGGGUACCUGCAUGCCCGCAGGUGAUUCUAGAGUGUCCUCCAAGUGGUUCUGGCAUAGCUGGCAGGUGAUUUUGGUGUGUCCGGCAGGUGGUUCUGCCGAGUUGAGCAGGUGGUUGUGCUGUGCUCGGCAGGUGGUUCCGGCAUGUCCUGCAGGUGGUGCUGGUCUGUCCGGGAGCUGGUUCCGGCAUGUCCGGCACGUGGUUCUGGCACGUCUGAGAGCUGGUUCAGGCAUGCCCGGCAGGUGAUUCCUGGGUGUCCGCCAAGUGGUUCUGGCAUCACCGGCAGGUUAUUUUGGUGUGUCUGGCAGGUCUUUCCUACUUUUUGGGCUCGUGGCUCUGGCUUGUAAGACAGGUAUUUGUGGCAUUUCUGGCCCCCGGUUCUGACAUACUCCACAGGUGGUUUCAGUGUUUCUGGCACCUGUUUGUGGCAUAUCCAACAGGUGUUUCCAAUGUGUCUGGCAUGUGGUUGUGCUUCGUUUGGAAUCUGGUUCCAUCGUGUCUGUUGUGUGCGGCUGGCAUGUUGAAGAGAGGGUUCUGCAGUGUCAGAAUCGUUGUUCCACUGUGUCCGGCAGGUGGUUACAGGUGGUUCUGGCAUGCAACGUGGGUGCUUCUGGUGUGCCUGUUGUGUCAUUCUGGCAUGAAUGUGUGGUUGUUUGAGAGUGUGGGCAGGGUGUUUUUGGCAUGUCUCUGGGGGUUUUCUGGCAUCUAAGGGGCUUGAUUCCUUUUUAUACAUCAGGUGAGUUUGUUCUCAGCUUCCUAAAGAGAUGAAAGAAAGAUG